UACGAACGCUGGCGGCGCGCCUAAUACAUGCAAGUCGAACGAGAAGCUGUAGCAAUACAGUUGUACAGUGGCGAACGGGUGAGGAAUACAUGGGUGACCUACCCUCGAGUGGGGAAUAACCAGCCGAAAGGUUGGCUAAUACCGCGUACGCUUCCCAGUCUACGGGUUGGGAAGGAAAGCGAUGCCGUGGGUAUCGCGCUCAAGGUUGGGCUCAUGUCCUAUCAGCUUGNGGUGGGGUAACGGCUCACCAAGGCAACGACGGGUAGCUGGUCUGAGAGGACGAUCAGCCACACUGGCACUGCGACACGGGCCAGACUCCUACGGGAGGCAGCAGUAAGGAAUAUUGCGCAAUGGGCGAAAGCCUGACGCAGCGACGCCG
rnacentral:rRNA from 1 species